rnacentral:rRNA from 1 species
GAUGAACGCUAGCGGCAGGCCUAAUACAUGCAAGUCGGACGGGAUUGUGGAGCUUGCUUCACAUGAGAGUGGCGCACGGGUGCGUAACACGUAUGUAACCUACCUUAAUCUGGGGGAUAGCCUCUCGAAAGAGAGAUUAACACCGCAUAACAUUACACCACAGCAUUAUGGAGUAAUCAAAUAUUUAUAGGAUUAAGAUGGGCAUGCGGAACAUUAGCUAGUUGGUAAGGUAACGGCUUACCAAGGCUACGAUGUUUAGGGGAUCUGAGAGGAUGACCCCCCACACUGGUACUGAGACACGGACCAGACUCCUACGGGAGGCAGCAGUAAGGAAUAUUGGUCAAUGGGCGCAAGCCUGAACCAGCCAUGCCGCGUGCAGGAAGACGGCCCUACGGGUUGUAAACUGCUUUUAUACCGGAAUAAACCCUUUUACGUGUAAGAGGCUGAAUGUACGGUAAGAAUAAGGAUCGGCUAACUCCGUGCCAGCAGCCGCAGUAAAAC